AUUUUUUCUUCUAUUUUAAAAAAGAAAAACUUUACAAAAAAUAGGAUGCCUCUGUGAUUUGGAAAUCUUCAAUUAAGACUUGAGAUUUGAAGCAAGGUAGAUAUAUGUAUUUUCAGCAUUUAUUUACUUAAUGGAACAGCAAACAGAAUUUCCCUAUGUAUUCAGAGGAAAAUAAAUAUGUUGCCUCUAAAGGCAGAUGCAUACUUGACAUUGGACAGAGAACACCCCAACCAUGCCAACAGAAGCAUCCCUGAAAAUUAGAAGGACAAAAAGAGUGGGUAGCACAGAUCCAGGGACUAGCAUCCCAAACUAGGAAUGCAGGCUGCUCCCAUCAACACACUGCCAAGCAGAGGAGGAAGAGUUCUGGCAAAGCUGAUUCUGGCACUGUUUGCAAGAUUUGUUGAUGUCUAUUUGAACUGAUGGGCCAUAGGAGCUGCCUACUUCACCAUGUUUGCUGAUGUCACUCUGGUGGCUGAUAGAUUUGGAAUACAUAUGUUCAUCAGGCAAUAUUGGUUCCUUCAGUAUGGCUGAAUUGACUUAAUUGUACAAAUAGAAAGUAAUUUGUUGUAUAUAGGUCUGCUAUAUCGAUGUUUAACUUAUAUAAAUAAAAUAUUUACAGUGACAAAAUUAUUUUAUUCAUACAUUUUCUUUGAAUAGUAUUUCUAAGCCCCAAAUACAUUGCUCUUACCAUCUCAAAAUAAUUGACGUCUAUGGCUCAUCUUAACAGACAUACAAGGGACGCUUUUAACCUUAAGCAUUAAAGGUUUAAUAUCCCCAAAAGCUGAUAACAUCUCUGAAAAGAGGAGAGUGUAAGAAGCUAAUGUCUGACAAUCUACUACCAGUAAAUAUGGGUUGAAUUUAAAACCAUAAUCCUGGGUGAGUCACUUUAUUCUUUGAAUCAGAAAUAAUAAAGGUGUCAACAACAACCAAAAAAAAAGGUUUCUUAAAAAAGCAUUUUGAUUUAACUCUAUUCUGUUUGUCACCAGUAGAUACUGUCUACACUGCAUUGAAAUCAGAAAAUGGAUGACCCAUCUCCUGCAUGAGAUUAUUUUCAGUGGCAGCGGGAAUCUUUGUCUCUUUUGUCUGACCAGAACCUCUCUUUAUCCUCAGAGGAAACCACCUCUCAUAAAAAUCUUAAACUGGUUCAAUUAUAAGAACACGAACAAUUUUGGUAUAUUUUUUGAAAAUAAUUAGUUUUGGGCUGAACGUGGUGGCUCAUGCCUUAAUCCUAGCACUUUGGGAUGCAGAAGUAGGAGAGUCACUUGAGCUCCGGAGUUCAAGACCAGCCUGGGCAACAUAGUGAGACCACAUUCUGCUAAAAAAGAAAAAAGAAAAAGAAAAAAAAAAGAAAAUAAUUAGUUUUGCAACAGUGUCUUAGAAAGACCACAGAUACACAUCUACAGAACCCAACUGGUCCCAUCUAAGUCUUGCUAAACCUUUCACAUCAGAGGCCUGAUAGAAAUUAAGCUAAAUGUUAUGAGCAUCAACAUACAACCACAAGCAUAUGCCAGAAGAGAGAAUCUGACAGCAGCAAAAUGGAUUGUAGGUGCUAGAUAAUGACAUCCCACAUAUAUAUAUUAUAUAUAUAUAUCCCACAUAUUUAUAUACUAUAUAUAAUAUUAUA
rnacentral:lncRNA from 10 species